AUUGAACGCUGGCGGAAUGCUUUACACAUGCAAGUCGAACGGCAGCACGGGGGCAACCCUGGUGGCGAGUGGCGAACGGGUGAGUAAUACAUCGGAACGUGCCCGGUCGUGGGGGAUAACGUAGCGAAAGUUACGCUAAUACCGCAUACGAUCUGAGGAUGAAAGCGGGGGACCUUCGGGCCUCGCGCGAUCGGAGCGGCCGAUGUCAGAUUAGGUAGUUGGUGGGGUAAAGGCCUACCAAGCCGACGAUCUGUAGCUGGUCUGAGAGGACGACCAGCCACACUGGGACUGAGACACGGCCCAGACUCCUACGGGAGGCAGCAGUGGGGAAUUUUGGACAAUGGGCGCAAGCCUGAUCCAGCCAUUCCGCGUGCAGGACGAGGGCCUUCGGGUUGUAAACUGCUUUUGUAUGGAACGAAAAGGCUCUGGCUAAUACCUGGGGCUCAUGACGGUACCGUAAGAAUAAGCACCGGCUAACUACGUG
rnacentral:rRNA from 1 species